rnacentral:rRNA from 1 species
CAAGUCGAACGCAGGGCUUCGGCCCUGAGUGGCGCACGGGUGAGUAGCGCGUGGGAACCUGCCCUGGAGUGGGGGAUAACCGAGGGAAACUUCGGCUAAUACCGCAUGCGCCCGGAGCAAUCCGGGGAAAGAUUUAUCGCUCUAGGAGGGGCCCGCGUCGGAUUAGCUAGUUGGUGGGGUAACGGCCUACCAAGGCGAUGAUCCGUAGCUGGUCUGAGAGGAUGAUCAGCCACACUGGGACUGAGACACGGCCCAGACUCCUACGGGAGGCAGCAGUGGGGAAUAUUGGACAAUGGGCGAAAGCCUGAUCCAGCAAUGCCGCGUGAGUGAGGAAGGCCUUAGGGUUGUAAAGCUCUUUCGGCGGGGACGAUGAUGACGGUACCCGCAGAAGAAGCCCCGGCUAACUUCGUGCCAGCAGCCGCGGUAAUACGAAGGGGGCGAGCGUUGUUCGGAUUUACUGGGCGUAAAGGGCGCGCAGGCGGUCCUGUUUGUCGAGUGUGAAAGCCCCGGGCUCAACCUGGGAACUGCGCUCGAAACGGCGGGACUAGAGUUCGGGAGAGGAGAGUGGAAUUCCCAGUGUAGAGGUGAAAUUCGUAGAUAUUGGGAAGAACACCGGUGGCGAAGGCGGCU